ACACACACACACACACACACACACACACACACAGUAUGCAGUUUCAGUAAUAUAAUUUACUAUUUAUUCAAUAGUAUAAUCGUCAUUUACUGUAACAGCCAUUUACUUAUUUAUUAAUUUUUAAUUCCUUUUUCGAAGAAGCUAAUUGGUUUUGACUUGAAAAAUACAUUUAGAUAAAGUAAUUUGAACAUUUGCUUUUAUAAAACUUUUAAUUUUCAAAUAUUUUAGAUGAUCGGAAAAAAUGAUAUCUGAUGAACGCAAAAUUUGAAGAGCGAGAGUGUUAAAACUGAAAUCUUUAACAAUUUUAAACAUUUUAACUUCAGUUUUAUAUAAAAAAAUUCGUCUAAAUUAAACUUUCAUUAAACUAAGUCGUGGAACUGGGACUUAUUGUUAGUUUUAAAUCUGGACACCGUUCAAAAUCAGAAAUAUUUUUAAUUAUUUGAAAAACGGAGACAGAAAUAAGAACAUUUUAAUUUCUUAUGGCGUUUUUGACCGGUGCUGGGUUAACCCGUCUCAGGUUCUUUUCCUCUAGAACUGACCAAUCACAGUUAUUCCCUUCUUCAGAAGAAUGACUGUGAUUGGCCUUAUGACGUCAUUAAUCGCUCCCGGAGCGAUUAACUCAGGCCGGUCGAAAACGCUAUUGAAAUUAAACACAACUUUCUUGAGUAAAUAUGAUUCUUGAACGCUAUUUGACAACCAAUCUAGAUAUCGAAACAAAUGAAAAAGAAAAGAAAGAAAACAAUGGCUGCGUUCAGCAGACACAACUGUUGUGAGUGAGCGCUCAGUAAUUCUUUAAUAUGAUUGGUUAAUACCUUUAGAUCUAACCAAUCAUAUUAAAGAAUCACUGAUUGUUCACUCAACAGUUGUGUCUGCUGAAUGCGGCCAAUGACGCGUUCAGCAGACAGAGCGGAUCAGUGAGCACUUAGUGAUUCUCUAAUAUGAUUGGUUCUUGCCUUCUUCGUUAGAUUUAGAAACCAAUCAUAGGUAAGAAUCUGAACGCUCACUAAUCAGUUCCGUCUUCUAAACGCGCCAAAUAUAUGCUGCAUUAAGAAGUAUUCGUCCUCGACUACUUUCAUUUCGUUAAUUCGCAACCGAAUUAAUGAUUGCAAUAAUACGUUUUUCUUAACAUAAUUUAUUGAUGAGACAAAUCCAUGUGAUUCAAUGGCCGCGUUCAGCAGAAAAGGCAACUUUGCAACUGUUGUAAAAUUCUUUUAUAUGAUUGGUUUAUGUAUUUAGAUCCGAUAGGAACUAAGGACAAGAACUAAUCAUGUUAAAAAAUUUUACAACAGUUACCAAGCUGUUUUUCUGCUGAAUGCAAUCUCUUGUCAUAAUUAAUCCAGCAACAAUGUUUAUUUUUCAUGACGUCGCAUCGUGAUGCGUUACCGAACGCAUUUCUCAUGUCGUCGCCACGAAUGCGCGAUUGAGUGGUCACGUGAUCGUACAAUUUGAAAGUACUGGUCAUUUCGCGCUUCGCGUACUCGCGUCGACGUACGAUAGGUAUGUGAUCUCACAACACGAUUGCUUCACGAAAUUUUCGGAGCUGUUUACCCAUUUCGUGGUGAAGUCCACGUAUGAAUGACUGCCGAGAACAUCGAGUUUAACGACAUCGAACGUCUCGUGCUGUACGAAUCGACUCGGACAACCACGAUCAACAGCCUCGACCUUCACGAUUGGUAUUGGCAUCGAGGCGUGACUGGCAACAAGUGUCGUCUCGCGCGUCUGCAACAUUAACCUCGCCUACACUGCUCGCGAUUGUCGCUGUCCCUGUCGGAAGAACACGCCUUGCAAGCACACGGAUCUGAUGGAACAUCGGAAACGUCGGAGUAUAGGCGCAUCGCAAAAAGAAAAAAGUAAAAACACAUCGAUUUCCUCACGCACACGUACACAUACGAUUGUCAUGAGUUAUCUGCGGAGCGGAGACUUCGAGAAAAAUUGUCACGAUGGAUUGGCCGAGGUGAACACAGCGGUGAGUCUUCUCGAAAAUUUGUAAAGAAUUCAUUUGUGUAGAGAUGAAAGAUAUUACCUUUUCUCAUUCCAUUUCCAAAACGUUCCUCUUUUCUUUUUAUCUUCCAAGUUUUUCAAAAUACAUAUAGAAUUUUAUUCAAAAUUUAAAGGGAUGAAAGAUACUCUUUAAAAUUACAUCUCGAAAUCUCGCAAACUGUAAAGUCAAUUUAAAUAGAAAUAAAGAAACAUUUUUCUUUUCAUAACGUUUUUUUCCUGGAAAUUUUGUAUAGUAUAGGAAAUUACUUAAAAAAGUUCCUUUUUAAUCAUUUAAAAUUGUAUAAGAAAGAUGUAAGGCUAAACAUCUAGUUACAUGAUAAACUUAUUUUCAAUAUUAUUUCUACAGUUUAAUAUGCAAAAUGUACAAUACAAAUUUAUUGUUGAUAUAAAAUUGCUUCUUAGCUAUAGAAUUUGUGUGUAUUAAUAUAAUUUUUAUUCAUUUUUGCAUAUUACCUGUACAUACAGAAUAUAUUGUAUAUGCUACACAAAUGAAACAUAACUUUUUAUGAAAUUCUGCAUGAUAUUUAUAUCUGAAGCCGAUGUGUCUUGAUUUUCUUCAGUUAUUGAGGAAAAACAAAUAUUUUAUUUGUGCUUGUUAUUUAAAUCGUUAAAAUAAGAAACACGGAUGACGGAAAUAAUUAUGCCUCACGCAAAUUUAAUUUUUUUAUAGUCUGUGGCUAUUUUUCGGUAAGGGAAAUAAGAUCGUCAAAAAAUUAAUUUUAUAAGAAUAAUUUUACAUAAUAUAUAGAUAUACUGUAAUUAAUGUCUCCCAAGUUCUACAAUCGAUUGUUGUUUUUAUUUAAACAUUUUUAAUGACUGACAGUGAAAAGUGAAGUAAAACGUAUGCGCUGAAUAGCAAUAUUUACGAGAUUUCUUAAAAUCUUUCUUUCGCGCCAGCAUUUGCCUGCGUUGGUGUGCAAUUAAUUAAUACAAAAAAUUUUCGGUCGAGAGAAACAAGGUUUGUCGAUUGAUGAAAAAAAUGAAGGAGAUCAUCGUACGUUCGAUACAUUACCUGUGUAGGAAAUUCGAGACCGCAGU
rnacentral:lncRNA from 1 species